AUAACAAUACUUGACUUAUUGGAUUUGGUAAUUGGAAUGAGCACAAUCUAAAUCCCUUAAAAAGGAUCCAUUGGAGGGCAAACAGUUGUGGUAAUUCCAGCUCCAA
rnacentral:rRNA from 1 species